GAUGAACGCUGGCGGCGUGCCUAAUACAUGCAAGUCGAGCGAACGGACGAGAAGCUUGCUUCUCUGAUGUUAGCGGCGGACGGGUGAGUAACACGUGGAUAACCUACCUAUAAGACUGGGAUAACUUCGGGAAACCGGAGCUAAUACCGGAUAAUAUUUUGAACCGCAUGGUUCAAAAGUGAAAGACGGUCUUGCUGUCACUUAUAGAUGGAUCCGCGCUGCAUUAGCUAGUUGGUAAGGUAACGGCUUACCAAGGCAACGAUGCAUAGCCGACCUGAGAGGGUGAUCGGCCACACUGGAACUGAGACACGGUCCAGACUCCUACGGGAGGCAGCAGUAGGGAAUCUUCCGCAAUGGGCGAAAGCCUGACGGAGCAACGCCGCGUGAGUGAUGAAGGUCUUCGGAUCGUAAAACUCUGUUAUUAGGGAAGAACAUAUGUGUAAGUAACUGUGCACAUCUUGACGGUACCUAACCAGAAAGCCACGGCUAACUACGUGCCAGCAGCCGCGGUAAUACGUAGGUGGCAAGCGUUAUCCGGAAUUAUUGGGCGUAAAGCGCGCGUAGGCGGUUUUUUAAGUCUGAUGUGAAAGCCCACGGCUCAACCGUGGAGGGUCAUUGGAAACUGGAAAACUUGAGUGCAGAAGAGGAAAGUGGAAUUCCAUGUGUAGCGGUGAAAUGCGCAGAGAUAUGGAGGAACACCAGUGGCGAAGGCGACUUUCUGGUCCGUAACUGACGCUGAUGUGCGAAAGCGUGGGGAUCAAACAGGAUUAGAUACCCUGGUAGUCCACGCCGUAAACGAUGAGUGCUAAGUGUUAGGGGGUUUCCGCCCCUUAGUGCUGCAGCUAACGCAUUAAGCACUCCGCCUGGGGAGUACGACCGCAAGGUUGAAACUCAAAGGAAUUGACGGGGACCCGCACAAGCGGUGGAGCAUGUGGUUUAAUUCGAAGCAACGCGAAGAACCUUACCAAAUCUUGACAUCCUUUGACAACUCUAGAGAUAGAGCCUUCCCCUUCGGGGGACAAAGUGACAGGUGGUGCAUGGUUGUCGUCAGCUCGUGUCGUGAGAUGUUGGGUUAAGUCCCGCAACGAGCGCAACCCUUAAGCUUAGUUGCCAUCAUUAAGUUGGGCACUCUAAGUUGACUGCCGGUGACAAACCGGAGGAAGGUGGGGAUGACGUCAAAUCAUCAUGCCCCUUAUGAUUUGGGCUACACACGUGCUACAAUGGACAAUACAAAGGGCAGCGAAACCGCGAGGUCAAGCAAAUCCCAUAAAGUUGUUCUCAGUUCGGAUUGUAGUCUGCAACUCGACUACAUGAAGCUGGAAUCGCUAGUAAUCGUAGAUCAGCAUGCUACGGUGAAUACGUUCCCGGGUCU
rnacentral:rRNA from 1 species